GACGAACGCUGGCGGCGUGCUUAACACAUGCAAGUCGAACGGAAAGGCCCUGCCUUUGUGGGGUGCUCGAGUGGCGAACGGGUGAGUAACACGUGAGUAACCUGCCCUUGACUUUGGGAUAACUUCAGGAAACUGUGGCUAAUACCGGAUAGGAGCUCCUGCUGCAUGGUGGGGGUUGGAAAGUUUCGGCGGUUGGGGAUGGACUCGCGGCUUAUCAGCUUGUUGGUGGGGUAGUGGCUUACCAAGGCUUUGACGGGUAGCCGGCCUGAGAGGGUGACCGGCCACAUUGGGACUGGGAUACGGCCCAGACUCCUACGGGAGGCAGCAGUGGGGAAUAUUGCACAAUGGGCGGAAGCCUGAUGCAGCAACGCCGCGUGCGGGAUGACGGCCUUCGGGUUGUAAACCGCUUUCGCCUGUGACGAAGCGUGAGUGACGGUAAUGGGUAAAGAAGCACCGGCUAACUACGUG
rnacentral:rRNA from 1 species